ACGCCUUAUACAUGCAAGUCGAACGAAGUAGCAAUACUUAGUGGCAGACGGGUGAGUAACAUGUGGGUAUCUUCCCUUUGGUGAGGAAUAACACGAGGAAACUUGUGCUAAUACCUCAUAAGUCUUUACGGAGAAAGCUUUAUGCGCCAAUGGAUGAGCCCGCACUUGAUUAGUUUGUUGGUGGGGUAAUGGCCUACCAAGGCUUUGAUCAAUAGCUGAUUUGAGAGGAUGAUCAGCCACAUUGGGACUGAGACACGGCCCAAACUCCUACGGGAGGCAGCAGUAAGGAAUCUUGCACAAUGGAGGAAACUCUGAUGCAGCGAUGCCGCGUGAGUGAAGAAGGCCUUUGGGUUGUAAAGCUCUUUCGUCGGGGAAGAAAAUGACUGUACCCGAAUAAGAAGGUCCGGCUAACUUCGUGCCAGCAGCCGCGGUAAUACGAAGGGACCUAGCGUAGUUCGGAAUUACUGGGCUUAAAGAGUUCGUAGGUGGUUAAAAAAGUUGGUGGUGAAAUCCCAGAGCUUAACUCUGGAACUGCCAUCAAAACUUUUUAGCUAGAGUAUGAUAGAGGAAAGCAGAAUUUCUAGUGUAGAGGUGAAAUUCGUAGAUAUUAGAAAGAAUACCAAUUGCGAAGGCAGCUUUCUGGAUCAUUACUGACGCUGAGGAACGAAAGCAUGGGUAGCGAAGAGGAUUAGAUACCCUCGUAGUCCAUGCCGUAAACGAUGUGUGUUAGACGUUGGAAAUUUAUUUUCAGUGUCGCAGCGAAAGCGAUAAACACACCGCCUGGGGAG
rnacentral:rRNA from 1 species